ACUCAGCAUGGACACGAAGGUCCCUGUUCAGCUCCUUGGGCUCCUGUUGCUCUGGUUUCCAGGUGCCAUAUGUGACAUCCAGAUGACCCAGUCUCCAUCUUCCCUGUCUGCAUCUCUGGGAGACAGAGUCACUAUCACUUGCAGGGCCAGUGAGGACAUUUACAAUAAUUUAAACUGGUACCAGCAGAAACCGGGGAAAUCUCCUAAACUCCUUAUCUAUUAUACAAAUAACUUGGCAGAUGGGAUCCCAUCUAGAUUCAGUGGCAGUGGGUCUGGGACAGAUUAUUCUCUCACCAUCAGCAGCUUGGAGUCAGAAGACAUUGCAACUUAUUACUGUCAACAGGAUUCUAACAAUUACUCAGCUUACAGAUCCUGGAAGAACAAUUAA